AUUGAACGCUGGCGGCAGGCCUAACACAUGCAAGUCGCGCGAGCGGCGGACGGGUGAGUACUGUAUGGGGACUGCCCGAUAGCGGGGGAUAACUACUGGAAACGGUAGCUAAUACCGCAUACUAUCGGAUAACCCAUAGGGGAUUAGCUAGUAGGUGGGGUAAUGGCUCACCUAGACGGCGAUCCCUAGCUGGUCUGAGAGAAUGAUCAGACAGACGCGGACUGAGACACGGCCCAGACUCAUACGGAGGCAGCAGUGGGGAAUAUUGCACAAUGGGCGCAAGCAUGAUGCAGUCAUGCCGCGUGUAUGAAGAAGGACCUAGGGUUGUAAAGUACGUUCAGUCGUGAGGCGUGACCGACAGAAGAAGCACCUGCUAACUCCGUGCCAGCAGCCGCGGUAAUUC
rnacentral:rRNA from 1 species